AGUGAACGCUGGCGGUAGGCCUAACACAUGCAAGUCGAACGGCAGCACAGUAAGAGCUUGCUCUUACGGGUGGCGAGUGGCGGACGGGUGAGGAAUACAUCGGAAUCUACUUUUUCGUGGGGGAUAACGUAGGGAAACUUACGCUAAUACCGCAUACGACCUACGGGUGAAAGCAGGGGAUCUUCGGACCUUGCGCGACUGAAUGAGCCGAUGUCGGAUUAGCUAGUUGGCGGGGUAAAGGCCCACCAAGGCGACGAUGCGUAGCUGGUCUGAGAGGAUGAUCAGCCACACUGGAACUGAGACACGGUCCAGACUCCUACGGGAAGCAGCAGUGGGGAAUCUUGGACAAUGGGCGCAAGCCUGAUCCAGCCAUACCGCGUGGGUGAAGAAGGCCUUCGGGUUGUAAAGCCCUUUUGUUGGGAAAGAAAAGCAGCAGGUUAAUACCCCGCUGUUCUGACGGUACCCAAAGAAUAAGCACCGGCUAACUUCGUG
rnacentral:rRNA from 1 species